rnacentral:misc_RNA from 1 species
CUGAGUGAGGGCCUUCGGGCUCGACCUCCAACCCUUUGUGAACACCAACUUGUUGCUUCGGGGGCGACCCUGUCGUUUCGACGGCGAGCGCCCCCGGAGACCAUCAAACACUGCAUCUUUGCGUCGGAGUUUAAGUAAAUUAAACA